CUCAUUUAUUCUAAGUCUGUGCUUCCUAUGUAAGCUGUCUCUUCUAAAUAACAUCAAGACCUCUCAGAGAUCCCUCUUUAAUGUCUAGACUUGUCAUAAAACUUCUGCAUCCUGCCUCUCAAUACCAGAUCCCAGCCAAGUCCUAGCUCCUUUCACCUUUAAUUUAGAGCAUGUUUAUGAAAGUGAAAUAUUAAAGAACUGAAGCAGACCUGUAACUAUGAAGAAUUAAGACAAGUUAAAGGAGAUCUGAGCAGGCAUGAGGGGGCCAUCCCAGGCCAUGGAGCAGCUCCCAGAGUAGAGCCACCUCCGUCAGAAAAAGAUGGUGCCAGGGUCAUAAUGGAGACAAAGUCCGCGGGACAGAAGGAGCAACAGACAACACUGGUGUAUAUCCAGAAGCAAGAUUGCGGUAUCUCAUGAUAGUUCUAUUUUUUUAUUUUUUUGAGAAAGCUUCAUACUGUUUUCCAUAGUGACUGCACCAAUUUACAUUCUCAGCAAGAGUGCACAAGGUCUCUCUUUUUCUCCACAUCCUUACCAUCACUUGCAGAGCUUCCCAGGUGGCUCAGUGGUAAAGAACACACCUGCCAAUACAGGAGAUGCAAGAGACACAGGUUCCAUCCCUGGGUCAGGAAGAUCCCUUGGAGGAGGAAAUGGCAACCUGCUCCAGUAUUCUUGCCUGGGAAAUCCCAUGGACAGAGGAGCCUUGUGAGCUACAGUCCAUGGAGUCUCAAAGAAUCAGACAUGCCUGAGCACACACAUAUACAAUUUUCCCAGUAUACUAUUUAUUGAAGAGAUUGUCCUUCCCCCAUUGAUUACCUUGGCUACCUUGUCAAAUGUUAGUUGACCAUAUAUGCAAGAGUUUAUUUCUGGGUUUUUAAUUCUAUCUUAUUGGUCUAUAUGUCAGUUUAAUGCUAAUACCAUACCUCACUGCCCCCAAUGUUUAUGCCCCAAAUAUUUCUGGUGGAAAUAGGAAACAUCUUACCUAUCAUCAAACUACUCCACAGAACAUUGCUGUUCAUCAGGAAAAGCAAUUCAUAAUAAGAGAAGAAAUGGAAUUCAUUGGUCUUUACACAUUCUAUUACUGAGAGGCAUCUAGCCUGACAGAGCUAACAGACGGCCUCCUGAAGAUUCAGCGUAGUGCAGUGAAGAGAUGGCAUUCUGCGUAUGAGAUGGGCAUUGCCAUACAGAAUAUGCUUUGAGACAGCACCCAGUCUGUGAUGCCGUUUUUCCAACUGCCAGCAUAUAUGGGUCUGGAAAUGAAAAGGUGGGUCUGGGAGUGGCUCUUCUCACUAUCAAAUCUAAUAAGCCACUCCUAGAAUUUUUGCUUCUAAUUCCUACACAUUUGGCUUCUGCCGAUUUCGUUCACGGUCUUACUUCCCAAGGGAGGAAUGCUUCCACCAGGAGACACCAUUGCAGGAUGUGUUGGGUUAGAAGCACAGAGUGCCACCUGGCCGUCUCAGGUCUCUGUGUCCCUGGACUAGCAGAGACCAGUUGGGGAAAUGGAUUCUGAUCAUCAAGUCAGUGAAACUUUGAUUUCUACUAUGAAAUGACAUCAGUGAAUAAAAUCUGGACAUGAGAAGACUUUCCUGGGGCACUUCUUACUACUUCCCUGUCCAUUUGUACAAGUUAACAUGGACUUCCCUUGUGGUCCAGUGGUUAAGACCCCGUGCUCCCAAUGCAGGGGGCCCAGGUUUGAUACCUGAUCAGGGAACUAGAUGCCACAUACCACAACUAAGACUGAAAAGAAAAAAAGAUCUUGCCUGCUGCAACCAAGACCCAGAGGGACCAAAUACAUAAAUAAAAUAAAUAUUUUUUUUAAGUGAACAGAAAACGACUGCAGCCUAGCAAAGACAGAACUAUUAAGAAUUAGAACCCUUCAGAAAUGAAACUUCAAUUUACUUCACCAAGUCAAAAUUCCCAAGUAGUUUAGGUGCUAGCCCUAAAUGGCCCAGGAACCAUGGAAUUAGUAGAAAAAAUGAAAUUGUUAGUAUCAACUAUAACCUUGCCAUCAGUAAUAGAAACAAUGAUUGUAGCAGCUAGGCAUAUUUUUUUUUUCUUGUUUUCAUGAAUUUGAAUAUUUUUGCCUUCAUUCUCAUUUUCUAUAUUACUUGGUACAAAGAAAUUUCAUGAUUAUUGCCUUUGCAGUUUAGUCUUUGUAUCAGAGUACACUCAUGUGGGGGUUGUAAUGAGCUAGACAAGCAAUUAAAGACACCCAGAGGGCCUUCCCUGGUGGUCCUGUGGUUAAGACUCAGCACUUCUACUGCCGCAGUAUAGUUUCAGUCCCCGGUUGGGGAACUGAAAUCCCACAUGUUGAGUGGCCAAAAAAAAAAAAAGCACACAACACCCCGAGAUAAAUAUGUAACUGGUGGGAUUUUAUACCUCUCUUCUUUGGCUAUAGGUGAUGUCUUACUUAGUCUUCUCAGGUUGCCAUAACGGAAUACCACAGCCUGGGGGGCUUAACCAAGAAAUAUUUACUUUCUCACAGCUCUAAAGGCUAGAAGUCCAUUAUGAAGGUGCCAGGAAAUUUGGUUUCUGAUGAGAGUGCGUCUCCUAGUUUGUAGUUGGCUGCCUUUCACUUUGUCCUUUCAUGAUCUUUCCCCAGCACAUGCACCAGGGGAUAGAGAGAGAGAUCUUCCUCUUCUUAUAAGGCCACCAAUUCUAUUGGAUUAGGGCCUCACUCAUGUGACCUCAGUUCAGUUCAUUUCAGUCACUCAGUCAUGUCCAACUCUUUGUAACCCUGUGGACUGCAGUCAUGUCCAACUCUUUAUAACCCCAUGGACUGCAGCACGCCAGGCUUCCUUGUCCAUCACCAACCCCCAGAGCUUGCUCAGACUCAUGUCCACUGAGUCAGUGAUGCCAUCCAACCAUCUCAUCCUGUCAUCCCCUUCUCUUCCUGCCUUCAAUCUUUCCCAGCAUCAGAACACCCUAUCUCUAAAUACAGUCACAUUGGGUAUGAGUCUUAUAAUAUGAGUUUCAAGGGGGACAUGAUUCAGUUCAUAAGCAAUGAGAACAUUUUCAUUUGUACAAGAACAUCUUGUUGGGAAGAAGUCAUUAUUAUUAUGGGAAAGUUUACAUAAAAUCAAAGCAUGCAUACAGA
ensembl:lncRNA